UUAUUUUGUUGUCUACGCUCGAGGUCAUGAAGUAAGGGCCUGCCAAAAGGGGCCCAAAAUUGUUUUCUCGCGAUUAGUCGAGUAAAACCAUUUUGGGAAAAAACUUUUUUAGCUAGGCUUGUAGGCCUUGAAGAGACGCACAUUUUGAACAUGUUGACCUGUUGGUGAUAUCAAUCAUUUUAGGUGAAAAAAUUGGUGAUUUUCCCAAGUCCCUGACCGCCUGCAGUGACAUAAGUCCGAGACAUGGUAUGUAUGCCUAGCCUCUGUAAUACCAUAACAUGUAAAAACAUCCUUGGAUAAGUUUCCCUGCAAAGGGUUGGAGCGACUUUAGUGGAAGUCCACCCCAAGUCGACGAAAUUUUAUCCCUUUCGUUUGUUUUUCGCUUUUUUGAGGUUUUUUUUUUGCGGCUAUUCAUGUUUUAUUGCUGAAAAGAGUGAGAUCAACUAAAAUAAAGAAUUUUUCGAUGUAUUCACGUGGUUCUUACACUCUUGGAACCCAAAUUUCGAUCUAUGUGGACUAUUUUCUAUAUAAAAGUGGGAUAUGAAGCAUUUUUGGACUUUUUUUGUGGCUAGCGGAACAAAAUGUCUGAUUUUGUUCGAUGUUUUGGCGAUAUCACUCUUAACAAUACUGGCACUAAUGGUGGAAAUGUCACGUCUUGUGUGAAGUUUACUGAUCGAGGCGUAGCCGCAAUCAAAAACUUGCGGUAAAGUUUGGCACCCAUGAAGUAAAGUAAACUUUACCUCACGUUUUUGACUAAAAAUUCUAGUUCACGUGCAAGACUAACAGAGCAUACAACAGCGGCUUCUUGUAGCUAACUUCAUAUUCAAUAAGCUUUUUUUACAUAAAUUAAUUCGAGGAAAUCCGCUUAACAAACCAACAAAAAGUCUAAAAAUAAUUUGUAUUGCAGGUAGAUAUAGACGAAUAACUUUGUUAGCUUAUUGGUGGAUUUUUAGAGCGUGAGGUUCUAUUUUCAGUAAAGGCAAAACGUGACUUAGUCGUUGCAUGAAAUCUAACGUUGCUUUCUUGGGAGAAUCAUUUCAAGUAAAUCAAGUAAACGUGACUUCGUCGAUGGGAGAAUCAUUCCAAGUGCAUAGAAAAGAAGAUGUACCGUCUAGUCAGUUAUAAAUAUUAGAAGAACGAAUGUUCGCGUACACAAAAGGAGAUUUAUUUGCAGAAUACUCAAAGAAUGAGGCAGAGGUUACAGAAAACUCAUCCAGAAGAAUAGUGAACUGCCGUAUUAAGCAAAAACAUCGCAUGUCUCUUCGCAUUAGCUUUUAAAAGCUUUCGAAAUUUUUUUAAGCUUAGAGCUUCUUUUGAAUUCCAAUGGAAUGUUCCACUUUUUGAAUGGAAUCUAAAAGAAGCUCAAAGCUCACAGAAGCUUUCGAAAGCUCUUAAAAGCUAAUGCGAAAAGACAUGCGAUGUUUUUGGUUAACACGGCAGUAGAAGGAGUUGAAGUUAACGAUGCAUGCAAAUUAGGCUUGAACGAGCUUAAAGCUUGACUGUUAAUCCCAAUUAGGCUUCAACGAGCUUUAAGCUUUUUUUUUCAAUAUCAAAUUGCUGGAAUUUCGAUUAGAAUUCGGAAAUCGGAAGUUAUGACAUUCUUUUGGUCUAUAAACUGCUGAAACCUAUAUAUUUAUGUGGAUGUUGGUUUAAAUCACAAAUUAAUUGAAACUUUGUUUGUGUCGUUCGUAUGAAUUGUUCGAGCAAUCGUCUGUGUACAAAAAAAAAUGGAAAAACGUAUUUGUUGUUAAAUAAUCCUGGUGCCUUAUGGUUGCAAAAAAUAUUAAUCGGAUUUUUUACGGCGUGCAAAGAUCAAAGAAUGAAAAAAGCUAAUUUUGAAAUGACGAAACUCUAUUGCAAGCUGUAAUAGGGGCAUUCAACACUCAAUAUAUACUUACAUCUUUUUCGCAACGGUCAUCAUUCUGGCACAGAAAUGCACACAGCCUUGGAAAUGCAUGUAGCACAUCUGCUUCAAGUAGUGAGUCAAAUUUGUAUAAAAAAUGUUUUCAUGAAACACCUUCACCGAUAAAUUUGAUCAAAAAUCUUUACAGGUAAAGAACCUUACCACUUAAAUGUCAAUUUUUAGCCUACACAUUCUUAAAAUCGAUUUUUAACCGUAGAUCAUGCGAUCUUCUACAUUUUUUCCCAUUCCCAUUCAUGGCUUCACGGUUAAAAAUCGAUCUUAAGAAUGUGUAGGC